rnacentral:rRNA from 1 species
AGGGUUUGAUCCUGGCUCAGAACGUACGCUGGCGGCACGCCUAAUACAUGCAAGUCGAACGAAGUAGCAAUACUUAGUGGCAGACGGGUGAGUAACAUGUAGGUAUCUGCCCUUUGGCCUGGAAUAACACGAGGAAACUUGUGCUAAUACCGGAUAAGUCUUUACGGAGAAAGCUUUAUGCACCAUUGGAUGAGCCUGCACUUGAUUAGUUUGUUGGUGGGGUAAUGGCCUACCAAGACAAUGAUCAAUAGCUGAUUUGAGAGGAUGAUCAGCCACAUUGGGACUGAGACACGGCCCAAACUCCUACGGGAGGCAGCAGUAGGGAAUCUUGCACAAUGGAGGAAACUCUGAUGCAGCGAUGCCGCGUGAGUGAAGAAGGCCUUUGGGUUGUAAAGCUCUUUCGUUGGGGAAGAAAAUGACUGUACCCGAAUAAGAAGGUCCGGCUAACUUCGUGCCAGCAGCCGCGGUAAUACGAAGGGACCUAGCGUAGUUCGGAAUUACUGGGCUUAAAGAGUUCGUAGGUGGUUAAAAAAGUUGGUGGUGAAAUCCCAGAGCUUAACUCUGGAACUGCCAUCAAAACUUUUUAGCUAGAGUAUGAUAGAGGAAAGCAGAAUUUCUAGUGUAGAGGUGAAAUUCGUAGAUAUUAGAAAGAAUACCGAUUGCGAAGGCAGCUUUCUGGAUCAUUACUGACACUGAGGAACGAAAGCAUGGGUAGCGAAGAGGAUUAGAUACCCUCGUAGUCCAUGCCGUAAACGAUGUGUGUUAGACGUUGGAAAUUUAUUUUCAGUGUCGCAGCGAAAGCGAUAAACACACCGCCUGGGGAGUACGACCGCAAGGUUAAAACUCAAAUGAAUUGACGGGGACCCGCACAAGUAGUGGAGCAUGUGGUUUAAUUCGAAGAUACGCGCAGAACCUUACCAACACUUGACAUGUUCGUCGCGACUCUAAGAGAUUAGAGUUUUCGGUUCGGCCGGACGAAACACAGGUGCUGCAUGGCUGUCGUCAGCUCGUGUCGUGAGAUGUUGGGUUAAGUCCCGCAACGAGCGCAACCCUUACUUUUAGUUGCCAUCAUUUAGUUGGGCACUCUGAAAGAACUGCCAGUGAUAAGCUGGAGGAAGGUGGGGAUGACGUCAAGUCCUCAUGGCCCUUAUGUGUUGGGCUACACACGUGCUACAAUGGUAUCUACAACAGGAAGCAAGAUGGCAACAUUAAGCAAAUCCCAAAAAGAUACCUCAGUUCGGAUUGCACUCUGCAACUCGAGUGCAUGAAGCUGGAAUUACUAGUAAUCGUGGAUCAGCGUGCCACGGCGAAUACGUUCCCGGGUCUUGUACACACCGCCCGUCACACCAUGGGAGUUGGUUCUACCUUAAGCCAAGGUUUCAAACCCUUGACCACGGUAUAGUCAGCGACUGGGGUGAAGUCGUAACAAGGUAACCGUA